AGCGCCUGUGUGUGAAAGAGAGAUGGUAUCCCACUCCGCAGCAGCGGAGCUAUUCGCACACUUGCGCUCACAAAUUUAACAUAGCGUACGCGUUCCAGUAUCUGUAGUCUAGUUCAAUGCACAAAGGGUAAUCAAUGAUUAAAUUGCAAUAUUGCAAUAUGAUUGCAAUCUAUGAUGAUGAUACCUUAUCUAUGGAUGGUAUCAAAUCUAACUAUGGUGACAACUGAUAUAAUCCCUAAUUUCAUAUUUUGUUAAUAAUAAUGUGAUAAUAAUGUUACGGUUUUCAAAAAUUAAGAAAUUAUUUAAAAUGUGUAACAGGGCGUUUGAUACUGUCGGUAGUUGCAAUUGUGAAUACAGUGUUCCUUCUGACAAUAAGUCAACUGACAAAAAAAGUUACAGAACUGUAAAAACAGCCGAAAAAAUAGAUAAGUACCUUAAAAGCGUGCCUUUUGCAGGAAAACUAGUCAGUGAAAUUCCAGAGAAGCAUUUGCAUCUUAAACAAAGCGAUUGCAUUUCAGCAUUUUAUUUAAUUGAUGAUGGUGUUGCCAGUAAAAUUGUUUGGCAAAUUGUAAAAACAUUAGGUAAUAUAGAAAAUAAAUUAAUAUGUGAAACCAAUGCAGGAUUUGGCUUUAUUACAAAAAGGUUAUUAUGGAAAGGAGCGAAAGUUCGGAUAUACGAGACAUGCCCUGAGUUCCGAAAAAAAUUAAGGAUAAUUUGUCAAAAUUAUGUAAACAGAACCGAGUUAUUUACUAAAGAUCUGUAUCAUUUACCUACAAUGUCUUAUAUUGAUAAAAUUGAUCGUGGUUCAAGAGUUCAGCAGUUAUUAAAUGGUAUACCAACAAGACCGUGGAGUUCCGAUCCAGCAAUUAUUAUAAUUGGUGCAAUGCCAAAAAAUAAUUUUAUUUCAUAUUUAAUGCGAAUGGUUGUUCAUCAGGGUGAGAUAAUUAAUUUUGGAAGAGUAGAGAUAUUUGCAAUUAUGAAAUCUAGAAAUUACCAAAAGUUAAAUGCAGGGCCUGAAGUAAGUUGUAAAUCUUAUACAGCUUUUACAGUUCUUUUUCAACUAUUUUUUGAUUAUGAAUUUAUUGAUAAUUAUGAUAGGAAGGCAUUUAUUCCAUAUGAGACUAAUCGUAAGAAGAAAGAAAAAGAGUCAAAGGUGGUCAGUGAAGGUGAAAUGUGUC